CGGAGGCGGGGCCCUUCCGGGUGUCCAGGGCCGCUCCGUGCUGCCCCUGCCGGCCGGAGGGGCGCGGGGUCCCCAAGCCGCCUCCGCUCCCCUUGGGGCUGCGGAGGGGAAACUGAGGCUCUGAGCCGGGCAGGCGAGGAGAGGCGCAGGACUCCGGGAUGGGGCCCUUUCUGCCUUCUGAUUAAUCAUCGCAGCAAUCACCGUGGAAGUAUCUCCAGGGUUUGUGGAGCAUGGCCCUGGAGUUUACAGGCGCAGAAGCAACUAUGGUCCAGCCAUUGUACAGAUGAGUAAAUUGAGAUGAGGACGCUGAGGCCCAGAGAAGCAAAGCGGCUUGCCCAGGUGCCCCGUGCAUCAGUGUCAGAUCCUGAGCCCACAGGAGGGAGGCCUGGAUAGUGAGGGAGCCCGCGGACCCUGCCGCUGAGCUCCAGGCUAGCGAGGGCACAGCAGGAUUGCUCCCAGCCUGCCAUGUGACCUGCUCACGUGAGUCAGCAGCCCACACACCUACCAGAGUGAUCCAGUCACAUCAGCCUCAGAGAGUUUUGCCUUUUCCAGAAUGUCAUGUGAUUGGGAUCCUACAGUUUGCAGACUUUUCCAGACUGGCUGCUUUCACAUAGUAAAACGCAUUUAAGGUUCCUCCAUGCCUUUUCAUGGCUUGAGACCUCGUUUCUUUUUCCUCCUGAAUAAUAUUCCAGGGCGGAUAUUUUGCGUCAUGUCAAUGCAGUAUGAUGCAAUUUCUCCAAGUGCAAUAUGGGCUUCUAUUCUAGAUCCCUUUUGGUGAUUGGGGAAACUGAGGCUGAGCAAGUAGCCCCAAGUUCCCAGGGCUUUCCGCCUGGCUGGCUCCCCUUGGACUCAUCCCUACAAUGACUUUCUCUGCCUGAAUUUCCUGUAGCCCCUCUUCCACCAUUGAUGCACACGUGUGAGUUUGGCUAUGAGGAGCUAGGGAGAGCUUUGCAACUUUCUCACUGACCAGCCAGAGCUCCAGGGAAUGCCUCGCCUCUGUUUGAUGGGACUUCCAAGGUGCAUUCAUCAUAUGAGAUAACCAGGAUGCAGCAGAACUCCUUAGAACAAUGCUUUGGAGCAGGCAGCAAUGACUGACAAAACUCCUCUAGAUGGACCAAGUCCCCUCAGCCCAGUUUCUUCCUUCAUCUUUAGAAAAUGGCUCUGCCAGGACUAGCAGCCAACUACACAGUGAUUAGACGCUCAAACACUUGUGUUCGAAUCCUGCACCUUGGCUCAUGAAGCCAGCCUUGAAAGACUUUUAUUUUACACCUAUUGGAGCAGCUAAACUGAAAAUACUUACAAUACCAAGUGCCGACGAGGAUGCAGAGAAAUGGACUUCUCAGGCAUUGCUGGUGGGAAUGCCAAAUGGUGCACCCAUCCUGGAAAAGUUUGGUGGUUCUUAAAAUACUAAAUAUGCAGCCACCCAGCAAUCCCACGGCUGUGUAUUUAGAAAUGAAAAUACGUUCAUAUAAAAACCUGUACAUGAUUAUUUAUAGCAGCUUUCUUCAUAAUCACCAAUAGCUGGAAACAGCCCAAUUGCCCUUCAGUGGGUGACUGUACGGUGGAAUAUUCUUCAGUAACAAAAGGAGAAAACUACUGAUAUAGGCAAGAAACCUGUACGACUGCAUUUAUGUAACAUUCCCAGGAAGAAGACAGAAUUCCCUGUGGCAGAGCCGAUCAGUGUUUCCCUGGGCCUGGGAGCAGGGCCAUGGAGUUUUGGGGUGUUUUUUUAUCUUUGUCAUGUACUGCCAGGACAGCAGAUGGUGACCUGGUAAUCCUUGCCAGCAGAGGGGGCUCGCGGGAGCCCUAAGGCAAUGUCUGAGCUGGCUGGAGGGCUUCUCAGAGGAGGGGGCAACUAAGCGGAAACCUACAGGCUGUGCUGGAGUCAGGCAGGUGAAGGACCUUCCAGGCAGUGGGAACAGCAUAAGGAGAGGCCUAGAGGAGAGACAUGCAGGAAACUGGGUGGCAUUUAUUUAGAGUACAGAGGUGGGGUUAUUAUUAUUUUUUGAUUAUUAUUAUUAUUAUUAUUAUUAUUAUUAUUCAUCCAUUUUUGAGGUGAAAACUGCAGAGAGAGGAGACUGAAGAAGUUGGUAGGCUCUUACCAGACUUUAUUUCAAGGGCACUAGGGAGCCCUGGGAAGAUUUGGGGCAGGAGAGGGAGGCAGUCAGAUUUUCUGAACCUUGUCUUGGAAGGAUUAUUCUGGAUCUAAAGUGGAGGCUGACCUGGAGUGGGGAAGACUGGAGUAGCAAGGAGAUGGUGUGGUGGUGGCCUGAAGGAACAAAGCUACCGUGGAGGGGCUGGUGGUGGACAGAAGUGGGAAAGACUGAGAGGCAGGAGGGCCCGGAUGCCUUCCGGUUGCCUGGCUUCUGGAAGAUAACAUUUGCAAGAGCCAAACCAACAAAGGCUUGAGAACUUCUGCAAAUCAACCCAAACAGGACAGCCCCCCACCUCUAUAGAAAAGGGGCCAAGAAUGGGAACAGGGAAGCCCAGAAGGUGCAGGAGCUUGCAAAGAGAUGCCCACACUGGCCCGUGAUCCAGAAACAUGCAGAUUGAAACAACACAUCACUUCAUGGCUAUCAGGUUGGCCAAAAUUAGAGCCCAGUCUUGCCCUGCACACAUGCUGGGUGAAAGCAAAUGAGUUUGUGACCACGUCAUUGAAAGCUUCCCUAAGCCAACCAGGAAGAACCUGUGACUGGCCCUGUGUCAGACGGAGGAGGAACCGUGGCCUCUGCAGCCGGCAGCCCAGUGCCUGGCGGAUCCACCUUUGGAAUACAGUCAGAACCUGAACUCUUCUCUCCUUCCCCUCAGCCCCGACUUGGGCCAGCCUCUUUCAUUGCUCAUUUAGACCAGUGCGGUCCCGUCUGUCCUGGUCCCCGGCUCCUGACCUCACCACUCACGCUCUGUCCCUUUUGCAGCAGCCAGAGGGCACCUGUGAGCACGUGAGGCAGGACCCAACUCUCAUCUGCUCAGAACCCUCCAUGGCUCCCACCUUACCUGGGGUAAAAAGCCAAAGUUGUCCCGCAAGGCCCUGCACAACCUGCCUCACCAACUCCCUGCCCUCCCCUCCUCCCACUCUCCCCCUCGCUCACUCGGUUCCAGCCACACCCACCUCCUUGUUCCACACACACACAGGGGAGGCCCUUUGCACUUGCUGUUCCCGCGGCCUGGGAUGCUUUUCCCUCUGGUAUUCCAGGGCUCCCCCCUCACCUCCUCUUCCAGGGGCCUAUUUAAAGGCCAUGUGCCCAGAGAUACCCCCUGACCACCCAGCAGAAAACGGUGCCCCUCUACCCUUGUUUUAUUAUUUUUUAUGGCACAUCUCUCCACUUGGCCUUCUAAUUAUAUUAAACAUCUACUGUGUCCCCCCCACCUUAUCUCCUACACCUUGCCACCUCCGUGAGGAUGUCAGCUCCCAUGGGGAGACACGCUUACUUCCAUGUGCCCGCUCCUGGAACAGAGCCUGCCACAUAGAAGGAGCUCAGCAAAUCAACCUAAGGCUCAAAGAGGUGAGGUCACCUUCUGAAGGCCACAGAACAGGUAAGUGGCAAAGCUGGGAUCUGAACGCAGUCCAGGCCUGUGCUCAUAACCAUCCGCUUGUGCCCCGCCUUUGCGACAGGGGGCAGAAUUGGCCUGGGAUCCUGUCCUGGCAGCUCCAGGCCAGCUUCAGCCCUGUGCUAUGAACCUAGCCUGACUUCAUACACCCACCGAUACAUCAUUUCAUUUUGCAGACGAGGAAACCAAGACUCAGGGAAGUGGUCAUUUGUCCCCUGAUGUGACCUUGGGGACAACAGUGGCAUAGGAUGAAGUGCUCAGAUUCUGGGGUCAGACAGGCCUGGGUCUGAUGAGUGCAAAAGGGACAGGGAAAGCAAGGCAGGCUGCCUGUGGAGGUGACACUGAAGGCUAGGGGACGAAUAGGAGUGUGGCAGAUGUGGUCCCUGCCACUGAAGGCAUCCAUCCUCAAUGGCAUCACUCACAUCCAGGUGACUUUGUUGGAUGGUGUCUCUGGAGGCUGCAUAGCGCAGGGGAGAGGCACCCUGGAAUUCAUGCCCUGGGGAGUGGCCCCCAGCCAAUGGCUGAUGGGGGACAGGUGGAUAAAUACCCCAGUUCCCCUACCCAUAGGCGGCAUGACCCAGUGUGUCCUACCAUGUCCCAUGGGGCCCCUAGUGGGGCUGAGCCCCCAUUGCCCACGGGGCUAACCUGCCCUAAAACCACAUUUACUAGCUGCUUUCUCUUCUCCUGCUUCCUUUUAUGGCUGGAAUGUGCCCCCUGACGAAUUCAUGGCUUGAUGCCCUGUCCCCCAGAACCUCAGAAUGGGGCUGUAUUUGGAGAUAGGGUCCUUAAAGACGUAGUUAACUUAAAAUGAGGUCACAUUAAGACAAAGCCUCUCCAGGGUACAGAAGGUGGCAUGGGGAGAGCAGAGUCUCAGGGGACUGGGCUUAACAGCAGGAGUGAGGGGGAGAAGGGGCCUCCAGGGAGUCAGGGCCAGACCUCAAAGUGACAGGAGUCACCGCGCUUACCCCAAAACCCACAGGGAAAAUCUUGCGAUGCGGACGGCACAUUCCACAGCAGGAACUGCCUCCGCGGUUUCAGCCAUGAUGUAGGGUCACUGCCCUUUUCUUCAAGACCACAGAGGAAAUGGUUACUAGUUCAGGGCUGGGCUGGCCUGACCUCAGCCUUCCCGUCUGUGCCCUCUGGGUGUCUCCUCCCUCCUUCGUCUUCCAGGUUCACCCCCAUAGAUGGACAACUGACCUGGGCCGCCCUCCACCUGCAGCUUCUCAUCCCCCACUCAGAAGCAAAAACUAUUCUUUAAACAACCAUAAAAAAGCUGGAUUGAGACACAGCUCACAUAUGGAUAUAGCUCACGCCCCAUUGAAAGCAUCCAAUUUAAUGGUUUUUAGUAGAGUCACAGAUAUGUGCAAACUUGUUCAUAGUCAAUUGUAAAACAUUAUCUUAAAAAAACUUUGUACCCCGAGUGCGUAUUCCUCUAUGCCCUGCCCUCUGUCCUCUGAGCCCUAAGCCACCGCUAACCUACCAUUCCGGACCUUCAUAGGACUGGCGUAAUGUGUGUCCUCUUUUGCAUCAGGCUUCUUUAACUGCAUGUGGUGUUGUCAAGGUCCAUCCUCAUUGUAGCCUGUGUCGGAAUGUCAUUCUUUAUUAUGGGUGAAUAAUAUUCCACUGUAUGGACAGACCAUCGUGUGUUUACUGGUCAUCUGUGGAGGGACAUUUGGGUUGUUCCCACCUUUUGGCUACUGUGAAUAAUUCUGCUCUGAAUAUUCGAGCACAAUUAUUUCUGUGGACGUAUGUUUUCAUUUCCCUUGGGCCAUAUCUAGAAGAGUCUCAUGGUGGUUCUGUGUUUAACCUUUUGAGGAAUUACUAGACUGUUUUCCAAAGUGGCUGCCCCAUUGUACAUUCCCGCCACCAGCAUAGGAGGGUACGAAUCUUUCCACAUCUUCCUGUGAAAACAUUUCUUGAGUCCAUUUUACAGAUAAGGAUCAGGUAUACUGAGGCCAGGCAAUGGAUCAGGGUCCCGCAGCUGCUGAGGGGCAGAGCCAGGGCUGGCACCCAGAUCUAUAGCCUCCAGGCACAAAGGUUUUAUCCUCUCCUGGAAGCUUAAAUAAAGAGUUGAUUGGUAAAAAACAUAGGCAAAAAUCUCUUGAACAUAAACAUGAGCGACUACUUCAUGAACAUAUCUCCCUGGGCAAGGGAAACAAAAGCAAAAAUGAACAAGUGGGACUAUAUCAAGCUGAAAAGCU